rnacentral:lncRNA from 1 species
GAUAGUUGAUGGCGGACCAAUGACGCGAUCAAGGGCAAAGCAAGUGAAACAAGAGAUGGGAUUGCUCGUUUAAGAAACCAUUGAUGGAACCAUGUUCGGGACUCAAAAUGGAGUAACUUUCAUGUUCGGGUCGAAGGCCGAAUCAACUUGGAUCAAUUUGUUAUCAAGCGACGAAAGCGGAGGCUGAAGAUAACACCAUGCGGCCGCACAGGUAAAACCACAUGCAGCCGCACACAUGCAUACCGAAAACCAAAAGUGAAAUUUCAGAUGAACCAUGCGACCGCAUGGAUUUACACCAUGCGGCCGUACAAGCCAAAAAAAAUUGGCGAAUUUUCUAUUUUUGGCCGAAUUUCCUAGUUUCGAUAGAAUUCUUAUGGAAUCAAAUUAUUACCAUAAUUUGAUGAUUUUGGACGUUUUUAUUCAUUAGUAUAAAUAAGAGAUUACUUUUCAUUGGACCUUUGAACUUUUGACUUUGAAUUAAUAUUACAGAGACAGAAAUUUCUUCUUUCAAUUUAUUGUUCUUCUUGAACAAUCUUGGAACUUAUCAAGAUUCAACUUCUUGUAGCGUUCUAUCAAUCGGAUUAUGGGUUCUUUUAAUUGUAAUCAAGGGGCUUUAGGUUCUUCGCUAAUCUAGGGUUUCAUGGUUCAAUUCUUGGGGUUCGAGAUCCAAAAUCGGGUUAGUAUUGGUGUUCUUGGGUUCCGCAUCAAUCUCGUUGUGGGUUUCAUAGUUUCCAUUGCUACGGGGUUCGCAUCAGUUGGUAUUAGAGCUUUGGUUCCAAUUUAAUCAGGUUAUAUCCUUUGUUUUCUAAUUUUUUUUUUUUUGAAUUCCUUGUGUUCUUGUGUCCAGAAGGUUUUCUUGAUCUUUGAUCCAAAAAUUUCGUCAAAAAAUCUUCAAAUUCCGUUUUUGGGCUCAAUUUUUGCCCAAAUCAGUUUUUGUUUUCUUUGUUGGUUUUGUUAUUGAUUUCCGAAUCUAAAAAAAAUUACUGUUCAUCCGUACAGUAAAAAAAAUUGUUAAAUAUUAUUGAUCUGUCAAAUACCAACUUUUAUUAUUCAUUAUCGUUUCUAAAUUACUUGGACACAUUGAAUCAUUCCAUUCCUUCAAUUCAAGUUGAAUUUUAAAAGUUUUCUUUGAGUCCUUUGAUUACAAUUAUUGAGUCACAUCCUGUUUGGAGAAUUCUACACGAUUUGAUUGAUUGAUUGAGUUCAUUGAUUUUUCCUAGAAGCAAUUGUUGAAAGAAUUGAGUGGUAAAAGGCAGAGAGGUGAGCUUAAUAGAGGGUAAAAGCCCUUGUGUGUUUUCGAUUGACUUUUGGUGAGGCAGUAAAAUAAAAUUUUAGUGUUAGGAUGUUAGAAAGGGCAGAAUCAAAGUCAAGCUGACAAGGCAAUAAUAGUAAUGCAUCGAAGGAUUUAGUGUAAAGGUUUGAGAGGGCAUUUGGAGAUGUGAGAGAUAGGUUGGAGAAGCAAGAGGCUUGGAUGAAUAGAUUAGAUACAUCGGUGGCUAAUCUUAGUCGGGGGCAUCGAGUGGAUGUAUCCAAUGCCAGAGGACCAGAUAGAUGGGAGCCUAGGAGGGAAAGGCGAGAGGAGUAUGGAUAUGGGAGUGACAUGGGAGAAGAUGAAUUUCACGGUGUUAAGAUGCCAAGGAUGAGGAAUAGAGGUGAUAGGUUCGACAGACGGGGUCGGAACGAUCGUGGGGAGGAGUUGGAUGGAAAUUUGGGAAAUAUAAAAAUGACAGUUCCUUCAUUCAAAGGAAGGAGUGAUCCCGAGGCAUACCUGGAAUGGGAAAGGAAGGUUGAAAUGAUCUUUGAGUGUUAUAACUACUCGGAGGAGAAAAAGGGAAAGUUAGCAAUUUUGGAGUUCAGUGACUAUGCAAUUUCAUGGUGGGAUCAAGUGAUUACUUCACAACGUAGGAGUGAGGGAAGACCAAUCAGCACUUGGGAGGAAUUGAAGUCAUUGAUGAGAAAGAGGUUUGUUCCUAGCCACUAUUACCGAGAGAUCCAUCAAAAACUGGAAGGUCUAUAUCAAUGGUCGAAAAGUGUAGAGGACUAUCAUAAGGAGAUGGAAAUACUCAUGAUUAGGGCCAAUGUGGUGGAGGAUUGGGAGGCUACCAUGGCACGAUUCUUGAAUGGGUUGAAUAGGGAAAUUGCCAAUGUAAUGGAGUUGCAACAUUAUGUGGAGUUGGAAGACAUGUUGCAUGUGGCUAUGAAGGUAGAGAGAUAAUUGAAGAGGAAAGGGACAACUAGGCAGCCGUUAGGAACUUCGAGUGUUAAUCCAUCUUGGAAGCCAGGGUGGAACAACAACAAUAAAGGUGAUAAAGCUUUACCUAAAGGUAGGAAUGAGUGGCAGAAAGGGAAAGAAGAAAGUGCUAGCAAAACAGCACCCAAAACAGAUUCACAACCAUCAAGGAAUCGAGACAUCAAGUGUUUCAGAUGCUUGGGGUCAGGGCACAUUGCUUCUCAAUGCCUAAAUAAAAUGGUAAUGGUUUUGUUGGGUAAUGGAGAGGUGGUGAGUGAAAGUGAAGGAGAGUUUGAGGACAUGCCUGCAUUGGAGGACGUUGAAGAAGAAGAAAAAUUGGAGUUUGCUGUUGGGGAAUCGUUCUCUUAACACUCAAGUCAAAGUGGAUGAUUCGAAGCAGUGAGAAAAUAUAUUCCACACACGUUGUUACAUCAACGAUAAGGUAUGUAGUAUGAUUAUUGAUGGUGGGAGUUGCACGAAUGUAGCUAGUACAACUUUAGUUGAGAAAUUAGGACUAGCAUUGUUAAGACACCCUAGGCCUUAUAAGUUGCAAUGGUUGAAUGAAAGUGGGGAAGUUAGGGUGAAUAAAAGAGUUUUAAUUAAUUUCUCAAUUGGGAGUUAUAGUGACAAAGUAGUAUGUGAUGUGGUGCCUAAGCAUGUGGGUCAUAUCUUGUUAGGAAGACCAUGGCAAUAUGAUAGAAGGGUCACACAUGAUGGAUAUAGGAAUCGUUAUAGCUUUGUUAAGGAUGGGAAGACUAUUACUCUUGCGCCAUUAACACCGGCACAAGUGUAUGGAGAUCAAAUCAAGCUAAAAAGUGAGGAAGAUGAGAGAAUAAGAGAGUCAGGAAAAAGCAGAGGCAAUAGUGAAACCACCAAUAAGAGAGAAAAUAGUGAGGUGACUGAGAGUGGAGAAAAGAGAGAGAAGCCACAUGAGCGGAGAGAAAAAGAGUCAGUUGAGAGGAGAGAAAAAAAGUCAGUUGAGCGGAGAGAAAAGCCAAAGGUCAACUUCUAUGCAAAAGAGAGUGAGUUGAGAAAGGCUAUGAGCAAUAAUAGGCAAAUGAUAUUGUUAGUGUACAUGGAGUCCCUCCUCAAUUUUGAGGAUUCUAACACAUCCCUCCCUAAUUUGGUUAAGUCUUUAUUGCAGGAGUUCGAUGAUGUGUUUCCUGAGGAGAUGCCAAGUGGAUUGCCACCAAUUAGAGGCAUCGAGCACCAGAUUGACUUUGUACCCGGAGCUGUCAUAUCGAAUCGACCAGCUUACCGAAGCAAUCCCGAGGAGACGAAGGAGCUUCAAAAGUAGGUGGAGGAGUUGAUGAGCAAAGAUUAUGUCAGGGAGAGCAUGACUCCAUGUGCUGUACCUAUCUUGCUGGUGCCUAAGAAGGACGGGACUUGGAGAAUGUGCGUGGAUUGCCGAGCUAUCAACAAUAUCACAAUAAAGUAUCGUCACCCAAUACCUAGGCUAGAUGAUUUGCUUGAUGGGUUGCAUGGUGCUUGCAUUUUUAGUAAGAUUGAUCUUAAUAGUGGGUAUCAUCAAAUCCGCAUGCGGGAGAGUGAUGAAUGGAAACAGCGUUUAAGACUAAGUAUGGAUUGUAUGAAUGGUUAGUUAUGCCGUUUGGACCCACUAAUGCACCGAGCACUUUUAUGCGUUUAAUGAACCAUGUUUUGCGUGCUUUUAUUGGGAAAUUUGUUGUAGUUUAUUUUGAUGACAUCUUAAUCUAUAGCAAAAACCUAGAUGAGCAUUUAGAACAUUUAAAUUGUGUGCUUAUUGUGUUGCGAAAGGAACAACUGUAUGCUAAUUUCAAAAAGUGCACAUUUUAAAUAGAUAGAGUUGUUUUCCUAGGAUUUGUGGUUAGUGCUAACAGGGUGGAAGUCGAUGAAGAAAAGAUAAAAGCUAUUAAAUAAUGGCCAACACCUAAGACUAUAACUGAAGUUAGGAGUUUUCAUGGAUUGGCUAGUUUUUAUAGGCGAUUUGUAAGAGAUUUUAGCACCAUCACAAUACCGUUGACUGAAAUAAUAAAGAAGAGUGUAGCUUUUCAUUGGGGAGAAUCUCAAGAAAUUGCAUUUAACACCAUUAAGGAUAAGCUACGUAAAGCACCCGUUUUGGCAUUACCAAAUUUUGAUAAAACAUUCGAGGUUGAGUGUGAUGCAUCAGGAAUAGGUAUAGGAGCAGUGUUAAUGCAAGAAAGGAGAUCUAUAGCUUACUUUAGCGAAAAGUUGAGUGGGGCAGCAUUGAAUUAUCCGACAUAUGACAAGGAGUUGUAUUCACUUGUUCGAGCAUUGGAGACUUGGCAACACUACUUAUGGCCAAAGGAAUUCGUGAUACACACCGAUCAUGAAUCUUUAAAGCAUUUGCAAGGUCAAGGUAAGUUGAACAAAAGACAUGCGAGAUUGGUGGAGUUUAUCGAGACAUUUCCCUACGUCAUCAAGUACAAACAAGGUAACGAAAAUAUAGUUGCUGAUCCAUUGUCUCGAAGGUACGUGCUUUUAAAUUCAUUAAGUGCUAAAUUACUUGAUUUCGAGCAUAUUAAGGGCAUGUAUGAAUCUGAUUGUGAUUUUUCUAGUAUUUAUGCUUCAUGUGACAAAGGUGCAUUUGAUAAAUUCUGUAGGCAUGAAGGAUAUUUGUUUAGGGAAGAUAAGUUGUGCAUUUCUAAUUGUUCUUUGUGUGAAUUAUUGGUAAGGGAAGCACAAGGGGGUGGUUUAAUGGGACACUUCGAGGUUCAAAAGACUUUAGACAUGUUAGGGGAACAUUUUUAUUGGCCUAAAAUGCGACAUGACGUAGAACAAAUUUGUGGAAAGUGCAUAACUUGUAAAAAGGCUAAGUCUAAGGUUCAACCCCAUGGUUUGUAUACUCCUUUGCCUGUGUCUAGUGAACCUUAGGUAGACAUAUCUAUGGACUUUGUGUUAGGUUUGCCUAGGACAAAAAGGGGUCGGGAUUCAAUAUUUGUCGUGGUCGAUAGGUUUAGUAAGAUGGCGCACUUCAUACCAUGUCAUAAAACUGACGAUGCUACUGAUAUGGCAGACUUAUUCUUCAAGGAAAUAGUACGUUUACAUGGAGUACCUAAAAGUAUAAUGUCUGAUAGGGACGUGAAGUUUUUGAGUCAUUUUUGGCGUGUUCUGAGGAGUAAGUUAGGAACUAAGUUAUUAUUUUCUACAACUUGUCACCCACAAACAGAUGGACAAACUGAGCUAGUUAAUCGAACUAUGACUCAACUACUUAGUACAGUAUCAAUAAAAAUCUGAAAUCUUGGGAAGAGUGUUUACCAUUUAUAGAGUUUGCAUAUAAUUGAGCUACACAUUCUACUACUUCAUUUUCUCCUUUUGAAAUUGUUUAUGGUUUUAAUCCACUAACACCUAUGGAUUUAAUGCCUUUGCCUGUGCAUGAACGAGGUAGCUUGGAUGGAAAAUGAAAAGUCUAGAUGGUGAAAACACUCCAUGAAAAGGUUAGGAUGCAGAUCGAAGAGAAAAGAAAGCUGAUUACCUCAAAAGCAAAUAAAGGAAGAAGACGCGAUAGAUUUGAGCCUAGAGAUUGGGUCUGGCUGCAUUUUAGAAAAGAGCAUUUUCCAUAACAGAGGAAGUCAAAAUUGCAACCACGAGGCGAUGGACCAUUUCAAAUCAUCGAGAGGAUCAAUGACAAUGCAUACAAAGUGGAUUUACCUGGUGAGUGUAAUGUUUCAGCUACUUUUAAUGUAUCUGAUCUCUCUCUGUUUGAUGCAGGUUUAGAUUCGAGGACGAAUCCUUUUGAAGAGGGAGGGAUUGAUAUGAUCUAGGAGUCGAGCCCAACGAAGGCAAGUGUGAGACGAGACCCGUUGAUAGUCGAUGGCAGACUAAUGACGCGAUCAAGGGCAAAGCAAGUAAAACAAGCGAUAAGAUUGCUCGUUCAAGAAACCAUUAAUGGAACCAUGUCUCAAAAUGGAGCAACUUUCAUGUUCGGGUCGAAGGCCGGAUCAACUUGGAUCAAUUUGUUAUCAAGCGACGAAAGCGGAGGCUGAAGACAACACCAUGUAGCCACAUAGGCAAAACCACAUGCG